rnacentral:lncRNA from 1 species
CACCUCUGUCACGCCCCUCAAAUAAUAUCGAUAAUAUUAAAAUUCAAGAAAACAAAUCAAUCAAGGAUCCAAACACACAUUUGAGGACACUGAAAAACAUUCUAAUUCACAUCUAUAAAACCUGUGCAAUUUAUAAUCAUAUAUCACAUCACUUGAUAAUUCACAUUUAUGGCAACCCAAGCCAACUUGACAAACAUGAACAACAUUU